UACAAUGUUCUCUUAGUUCUGCUCUCUUCACUUAGCAUUAAUUCCUGCAAGCCUUAACAUACUCUUCAAAAAUCAGCCUGCUCAUUAUUUCAUACAGAACAGUCAUUUUCUAUUAAUUCUGGACCAUAACUUAUUCAGCCAUCCCCUAGACGAUGGGGAUCUGCUCAAUUUCAAAUUCCUUGUCACCACAAAAAGGGCUGCCUCAAACAUUUUUAUGCCUGUGUCUUUUCCCUUUUUUGCAAUCUCUGGGACACAGACCAGGCAGAGACACUGCUGGAACAAAGGGCAGGCACAGUUGUAUAACCCUUUGAGCAAAGUAGAUUUGAAUCUUUUUGCUCCCAGUAAGCCUGUACCUUCAUGUACUUCCAAAAUGUGCAGAAAAGCAAGGAUUGUUUUUCUUCCAGAAUGAUUUUCCAGGUUUUAGUACCUGUAAAGUAUCUGCUCAAGGCUCCUACCUCUCUUCCUGGAGAACACUUCAGACAUCUGAGGAAAGAUGUGAAUCUUCGGGCCUUUCCAGGAAUUUUAAGAGAUCUAGGAUACCUUCCAAAAUAACUCUAAAAGAGUAUAAGUCUUUGGUUGUAUGCACUCCUCAGCUGUCCAGUUUCUCAAGUGAUUUCCAAAGACAGCAAGAAGAGAAAGAAAAAGAGAAAGAGAAAGAAAUGGAGACAGCAAAAGCAAAAGAGAAAGAGAAAGAAAUGGAGACAGCGAAAGCAAAAGAGAAAGAGAAAGAAAUGGAGAAAGUGAAAGAAAAAGAGAAAAAGAAAGAAAAAAAGAAAAAAGAAAGUUGGAAAUUCUGGAAAUUCUGAGAUGACCAAGAACCCGGCAGAAGCAGCAAAACCAAAGACACCUAAGUAGACAAGAAUGGAUCACACAUCUGGAGAAUGGAUGGAAGACCUGAAGAACAAGAAGCACACACUUGACCACCUUAUGCAGAACUGUUUACCCUUUCCCCUUCCCUCCCCAAACAACUCCCUUUAUGUCACACCCUGGAAAAAGCUUUAAUUAUCCUUCAAAAUUUUGAUUUUUAUUAUUGACGAUACCUUGAGUUCUCUGUAUUAAUGAAACAAAAAGCUAAAUUUCCACCCAAUCCCCAUGUUCAAGUUCACUCUGUAAGGUGUUACCAAAGAAUUUAGCUUAAAACAAAUAGGAAUGAGUUUGCUUCUUUAUCUGUGUAAGUUAGACUUUUUGUAAGAUGCUACCGAAUUAAUAGAAAUAGAUUUAGUUCUUUUCCUGUGGAAGUUAAACUUUGUGAGAUGCUUCCAAAGAAUUGAGCUGCAAACAAAUAGACAUGAGUUUGAUUUUUUCUGUUUGUGAGUUAGGAUUUGUAAGAUGCUACCAAAGAAGGGGCAGCUAGGUGGUGUGGUGGAUAGCGCACCAUCCCUGAGGUCAGGAGGGCCUGACUUCAAAUCUGAUCUGAUACUUAAUACUUCCUGGUUAUGUGACCCUGGGCAAGUCACUUAAC